GUGCAGCAGGCGCGAAACCUCCGCAAUACACGAAAGUGUGACGGGGCCAUCCCGAGUGCCGUCCGCUGAGGACGGCUUUUCCCCAGUGUACACAGCUGGGGGAAUAAGGAGAGGGCAAGCCUGGUGUCAGCCGCCGCGGUAAUACCAGCUCUCCGAGUGGUGGGGACGCUUAUUGGGCCUAAAGCAUCCGUAGCCGGCUGGGCAAGUCCUCCGUUAAAUCCAACGAUUCAAUCGUUGGGCUGCGGGGGAUACUGUCCAGCUUGGGGGCGGGAGAGGCCGACGGUAUUCCCGGGGUAGGGGUGAAAUCCUAUAAUCCCGGGAGGACCACCAGUGGCGAAGGCUGUCGGCUAGAACGCGCCCGACGGUGAGGGAUGAAAAGCUGGGGGAGCGAACCGGAUUAGAUA
rnacentral:rRNA from 1 species